AUUAUGACAUUCACAGUUAAAAUAACAUACAAAACUUGGAAAAUAACCACAUUUCUUAAUUUCUCACAUGUUUUUAGAUUUUCUUUAUGAUACAAAAUGAGAUACAAUAAGUGUCGGUACAUGUAAUAUUAGAGAAGUUAAUUGUGAUUGAUCAAACAUAUAAGUCAAAUUCUAGGUAUUGUUUUGGUCAGAACAAUUGCCUUCUUAAUGGGUUAAUGCGAAAACUUCAAUGUGUUCAUGAGCAAGUGUCUGUAGGGGUUGCUGAUAGCCACUAGAGGCAUUCUGACUGACCAAUGUAAACAUUGUCUUUAUUUAGAAACAGCAAUGUAUACAGUUGUCAGGCUGCAGGAAUAGGGUCUAUGCACCAAAAUCACUACAUCUGGCUCUUUCUUACCCAACGGUGUUAAACUGUUCAUGAAUGGUUGAACCUUGAAAGUUGCUCUACAUUGCUGGCACUUCCUGUCCCCAAAUAUAUGUACCCUUUUAUGAAUGGAGAGCUACUUAUUUUGUUAGUGUCAGGUGACCGUUUAGUGGCACUCCAUGAUUCCUCAAACUGAAUUGGAGAAACCAAAUGCUGCUGAGGGGCAGGUAGAUACUACACUGAAGAGAAACCUUUGGGGUUAAACCAUUCAUGAACUGUUUAACCCCUUCUGGUAAGAAAGCACCAGGGACCUCUGGG